UGAUCCCAUUAUACCCCUUAUAUCCCAACGGUAAUCUUCUUCAUUCGAACCGAACACAGCAGCGGCCAUCUUCCAACGGUAAUCUUCUUCUUCAUUCGAACCGAACACACCAGCGGCAUCCCCGUCGUCUUCUUGCUCACCCCCUUCUUCCUCAUUCGAACCAAACGCAAUAGCGUCACCCCAUUCCUCAUUAUAACCGAAUGCAACUUCGGCGUCUCCGUCGUCUUCGCUCAGCUCAUCCCAAGCGAAACAUCUUCUUCCUGGAAGAACCGAUCCAACAGUGUCUUCUUCUUCCUCGAAGUUACCGUUCUUCCUCAUUUGAAACGAACGCAGCAGUUUCACCCUUUUCUUUGUUUCUCAGAGCCGAAAGAGUUGUUAAUCAUCGGAGGUUCAUCUCUCAUUGCCGGAGCUACAGUGUUUUCCCCAUUUUUCAUAUCCGUUAAUCACCGGAGCUUCGGAUCUUCAUCUCUCAUCACCGGAGGUACAACGUGUUUUUCGGUGCUUUGAGUGCGGCAUGGCUUUAUGAGCACACAACAUUAUUCAGUCCUUCAGUUCUUGAUGCCAGUCCUCGUUUGUUUAAGUGGGGGAAUAUGGGGUAUCAAUGGAAGUCGAAGAGGGUCGAUUUGUUGAAGAAAGCUAGGGCGAAAACGAUUCUCACUUCUGCUCCUCUACUUGGGGUGUUUGUAGUUUUUAUUUAUUUAGUUCUGGUGGAAAUUGAAGAUCUCAUAUGAAUUUAUAAACUUAUUACAGGUUAUUAGGGGUUUGAACCCUACUAGCGAGGAGAUAGCCUUAGAGGAUGUUCGAUCGGAGGGCUGUUUACGUUUUAAUUUUUUUCUUUACAAUGGAGUCCUCUAUGUGAUCUAAGUACAUGAUAGUUAUUAACCUUUGGUGUUGAUAUGCAGUUUAUGGACCGAGGGGGCCAUGGUGUGGGUGGGGAACCUUUUUAUGAUGGAGAGGAUGCUGGUCACGGGUGGCGUCGGCCUGGGCAAAAGAAUUUUGCAAAUCUUGCAUGGAAUCCAUGGUAUAUCAAAUUCUAUGUACGGAGGCCAAAGAGUAUAACUCAACAAGAAAGCAGAAUGUGGAACUUCGUGAUGAAGUUAAUAGGCUUCGCAGAAUGAUGAGAAAUAAUGGGUUGGACCCUGAUGCAGCACCAUGUAGUGAUGGGCAUGAAGGUUUGGCAAACUACUUGCCAGACGAUGAUGAUUAUGGUGCAGACUUACUUGCUGAAGUUGCAUGCUGCACCUCGGGGGUAGAGCAAUCUCUCGAAAGGACUAGCGUUGCUGCCCCAUCUUGCGAGAUUCUUAAUGGCUCGCCCUCCGUUUCCGAAACCUUAGGCAAGGAGAGAACGAAAGCAAAGUAGCAUGGCGGUGUCACCCUUCCAAGCUCCUGGGCAACAAGGGCAAGUAGCGAAAGAGUUUGCUAUUACUACAGGGUUCAAAAGAGAAGUGAAGGCGAAGGUGAAUUGAUAAUUGUUGGUGUUGUCUUGGUGUUAUUUGUAGGGUUAUUUUGGUUUGAUUUGACUUUUUUAUUAGUUUAUUCAAUGAACAUUUGUUACAGUCCGUGGAUGCACGUGCAUUGUGGAAUUCUUUUAAGAUGAAGGACUUGGUCCCAAAGGAGGACCUUGAAGUUGUGAAACGGUUCUUGAAGAACCACAAGAAAGGGCAAGUGCACAUGACUGCUUAGUACAUUGUGUCUAUUUAAGUGAUUUGUUUUAAACUAUAAUUUGUUUGUAUUGUUAUUUUUUUUAUUAUGUAACAAGGUUGAUUAAUGGU